rnacentral:rRNA from 1 species
AACGAACGCUGGCGGCAUGCCUAACACAUGCAAGUCGAACGAGACCUUCGGGUCUAGUGGCGCACGGGUGUGUAACGCGUGGGAACCUGCACUUAGGUUCGGCAUAACUCCCCGAAAGGGGUGAUAAUACCGGAUAGUGUCUUCGGACCAAAGAUUUAUCGCGUUUGGAUGGGCCCGCGUUGGAUUCGCUAGUUGGUAGGCUAAAAGCCUACCAAGGCGACGAUCCAUAACUGGUCAGAGAGGAUGAUCAGCAACACUGGGACUGAGACACGGCCCAGACUCCUACGGGAGGCAGCAGUGGGGAAUAUUGGACAAUGGGCGAAAGCCUGAUCCAGCAAUGCCGCGUGAGUGAUGAAGGCCUUAGGGUUGUAAAGCUCUUUUAACCGGGAUGAUAAUGACAGUACCGGGAGAAUAAGCUCCGGCUAACUCCGUG